rnacentral:rRNA from 1 species
CCUACGGGUGGCAGCAGUGAGGAAUAUUGGUCAAUGGACGCAAGUCUGAACCAGCCAUGCCGCGUCCAGGAAGACGGCUCUAUGAGUUGUAAACUGCUGUCGUACGAGGGCAAAAGCAGAUACGCGUACCUGUCUGAAAGUAUCGUACGAACAAGGAUCGGAUAACUCCGUGCCAGCAGCCGCGGUAAUACGGAGGGUUCAAGCGUUAUCCGGAUUUAUUGGGCUUAAAGGGUGCGUAGGCGGUCGGAUAAGGUAGAGGUGAAAUCCCGGGGCUCAACUUCGGGAUUGCCUCUGAUACUGUUCGACUAGAGGGUAGUAGCGGUAGGCGGAAUGUAUGGUGUAGCGGUGAAAUGCGUAGAGAUC